AUGAACGCUGGCGGCGUGCCUAAUACAUGCCCGUCGAGCGAACAGACGAGGAGCUUGCUCCUCUGACGUUAGCGGCGGACGGGUGAGUAACACGUGGAUAACCUACCUAUAAGACUGGGAUAACUUCGGGAAACCGGAGCUAAUACCGGAUAAUAUAUUGAACCGCAUGGUUCAAUAGUGAAAGACGGUUUUGCUGUCACUUAUAGAUGGAUCCGCGCCGCAUUAGCUAGUUGGUAAGGUAACGGCUUACCAAGGCAACGAUGCGUAGCCGACCUGAGAGGGUGAUCGGCCACACUGGAACUGAGACACGGUCCAGACUCCUACGGGAGGCAGCAGUAGGGAAUCUUCCGCAAUGGGCGAAAGCCUGACGGAGCAACGCCGCGUGAGUGAUGAAGGUCUUCGGAUCGUAAAACUCUGUUAUUAGGGAAGAACAAAUGUGUAAGUAACUACGCACGUCUUGACGGUACCUAAUCAGAAAGCCACGGCUAACUACGUG
rnacentral:rRNA from 1 species